rnacentral:tRNA from 1 species
GGAGCUAUGUCUGAAUAAAGAGUCACUUUGAUAGAGUGAAGCACGUAGAUGAAAACCCUACUAGCUCCU